GAUGAACGCUGGCGGCGUGCCUAAUACAUGCAAGUCGAGCGAACAGACGAGGAGCUUGCUCCUCUGACGUUAGCGGCGGACGGGUGAGUAACACGUGGAUAACCUACCUAUAAGACUGGGAUAACUUCGGGAAACCGGAGCUAAUACCGGAUAAUAUAUUGAACCGCAUGGUUCAAUAGUGAAAGACGGUUUUGCUGUCACUUAUAGAUGGAUCCGCGCCGCAUUAGCUAGUUGGUAAGGUAACGGCUUACCAAGGCAACGAUGCGUAGCCGACCUGAGAGGGUGAUCGGCCCCACUGGAACUGAGACACGGUCCAGACUCCUACGGGAGGCAGCAGUAGGGAAUCUUCCGCAAUGGGCGAAAGCCUGACGGAGCAACGCCGCGUGAGUGAUGAAGGUCUUCGGAUCGUAAAACUCUGUUAUUAGGGAAGAACAAAUGUGUAAGUAACUAUGCACGUCUGACGGUACCUAAUCAGAAAGCCACGGCUAACUACGUG
rnacentral:rRNA from 1 species